rnacentral:lncRNA from 1 species
GUAGGUGAGAACAUCGACAGGGUUAGACACGAUGAGGAGAACUGUAUGCGGCGAGUCACGAGCCAGAGCAGGUAUGAUUUCCUUUAAUAGAGCGAGGUUACUCUGACGGAGGUUCAGCCUUGACUCACCCGCGAUCUGUCGUGCGCCGGCGGUAACGAUACAAAGAUCGGACCCGGCGGUAACGGAGUAUUCAUCGGAUGAGUUGAUCUUAACGCGGGGGAGAAAGCAGCGGCGCGCUGAAGGUCGACCAUCUCGCCGCGGAGUUUGUCGGGUUUGUUGUCGACGAUGACGAGCUCGCCGGUGAGGUCCUGAGUGAGGAUGGUCUGAGCGAUGGCAAUUCCUACAUUUCCGGCGCCGAUGACGGAGAUCUUGGUUUGACGCUUGGAGAGAGAUGGAGGGGAUGAUUUGGAAAAGAAAAGGACCGAAUAACACUGUAACCGCCUGGUUGGUUUGUGUGCUUUCCGCCUUUAAAUCUACCAAUUUAGCAGUUGUGAAUUAGUUGUACCGUUCAAUUAAAAUGAUUCUUUAAAUAAUAACAUUUCAGUUCAAUUUUGAUGAAUGAUCAAUAUCACGUCACUGUUUUGUUUGAAAGCAUACAAUUUCAGAUCCUAGUUCGGAAUUUGGAUAGUUUCGUUUAUAUUUUAUUUUAUGCUAUUUUUCUUUUUUUAGACAUAACUUGCUUUUAUAUUAUUUGAUUUGAUUAACAACACAAAUAUCCUUUUAUUUUUGCUUUUUUUUUUCUUCUAAUAUUCCGCAAAUUUUAAAUUAUAUAUUAAAUUAAAUAACAAUACAUCUAAUUGCUUUUUUUUUUAUUAUCUAUUUUUGACGUAGUAAAAAUAUAAAUAAAAUGAGUUCACUUAAGUUAUAUGAGUUUACAUAAAUAUAUUUAAAUUAGACUUACAUGUAACAUAUAUCACUCAAUUUAUUAAAAAAUAAAACAUAUGUAAGUUCAGUUAUAUAUUGUUAAAUUGACAUAAAAUUAAUUAAUUAAUUUUUAACUCACUUAUUCAAUUUACUUCCAGUGAAAAAUUGUUUGAUAAAGUUAUAACAUGAACCACAUAUCUUUAAGAUUUAGAUGAGAGAAUGAAGAUGAGUAUGAAUUACCAUAAUUUUCCUAUAACAUUUUAGGAUUAGGAUUUCGUAGUUGAGGAACUCUCUGAUGAGAUAAUGAUUAAAUAGAUAAACCAUUCAAGGUAGAGAGACAUUGACAAAAUGAUUCAACCCAUCAUAGUCUAUUAAGUAACAAAAGUCCAACACAUAAUUCAAUAUUUAAUACUAAUUAACUAUAAUUUAAUUAAUAAUAAUCUCUAAUAACUGUUUAUUGUCAAUCUACAAUUAACUAAUUAAAUAAUUCAUCAAAUAAUCUCUUACUUGGAUGACAAUAAUCAAUUACUAAAAGAAUAUGAAUUUUAACAUUAGAAUUUCAACUAUGAUCAAAUUAUUUGUCAUCCAAGGUAAAUAAGUUUUAAUCUUGCAUAAAUUGAAUCUAAUAGAAAAAACAAAUCAUAGAUCUCAAAUAUUUACAUUUUAUAAAAGAAUUAUAACUUUAGAAUAGUCAUAACCUUUGAAAAUGUUAUAACAAUCUCCUACUAAUCCAUAACACUAAAAGACUUUACUCAAAAUGAUAGGAGUUAAUAAUAUCUUAAAUAUAAGUAUUUGAUUUGCAGUUAUGCCAAUAAAUUUUCAUAUUUUAUAAAUGUCAUAAAAUAUUCACAUAUGCCUAAAAAUAGUAUGUCUAUAAAUACAUUAACAGUACAAUGUCAAAUCUGAUAGAAGUACUAACAUUACACAUGUAUUUGUAUAUUUAUCACCUCAUAAAAUAUGAAAAGUUUGUAAUUAAAAGAGUAGCACAAUAUUUUUGCACCCUAAAGAGUUAUUGUGCAUUUUUCAACGUAUCAAAUUGUGAUGUUUACUGAGAUUAUUUUUUAAAAUAAAAAUCUCAUCAUACAGCAUGAGACUUACUUUUCAAGGUCUCGUAAAGUAUGUUAUAUGUUUUAAUCUGUGUAAGAGAAUAUGAGAAUAUACAAAUAAUAAUUUCCAAAUGUUUAUAAUUUGUGAACAUGUGUACUUCCAUUAAUCCGAUAUAUAUACAAACAAGAUUUGGAUUCUCAUUAGAGUUCACUAAUUUCAAAAAUACUCUAAUGAUAUAAUAUGCACUCCAAUUGAUCCAACAUAUAUAACAAGACUCUGAUUUUCAUUAUGAGUCAACUUGUUUAAAAUUACUCUCUAAUGAUAUAACCAUUAUUGAUGGGAUAUUAAAUUUUUAGUACAAAUUUACAGCGAUAAUAUUUUAUCAUUAUAAAUACUUUUGUGUCCCUACUACAAUUGAUCUCAUAUAUAUAAACAAAUAUGAUAUUUUCAUUAGAACUCACUAGUGUACAAAAUACUCUAAUAAUUUAAUAGUUAAGGAUGAGAUACUAUGUUUUAUAGUGCAAAAUCUUUUAUAUACAGGGUUAUAUAAUUUUAUCACUUUUAUAAUUUAACAUACUUAACUACAUAUUUUGUAAAAAAAAAANNNNNNNNNNNNNNNNNNNNNNNNNNNNNNNNNNNNNNNNNNNNNNNNNNNNNNNNNNNNNNNNNNNNNNNNNNNNNNNNNNNNNNNNNNNNNNNNNNNNNNNNNNNNNNNNNNNNNNNNNNNNNNNNNNNNNNNNNNNNNNNNNNNNNNNNNNNNNNNNNNNNNNNNNNNNNNNNNNNNNNNNNNNNNNNNNNNNNNNNNNNNNNNNNNNNNNNNNNNNNNNNNNNNNNNNNNNNNNNNNNNNNNNNNNNNNNNNNNNNNNNNNNNNNNNNNNNNNNNNNNNNNNNNNNNNNNNNNNNNNNUAUACUUGUAUUUUUUAGAAUUUUUAUUUAUAAAUAACUUAAGACUAUAAUAUCGUCAAUAUAAAUCUUCGUGAAAAUAAAAUAAUAUUAUUUAAUAAAUAAAGUUUGUUUUUUGUUUUAGAUAAUUGACAUACUAGAUUAUCUCACUUGAUAUAGAAUGAUAAUUGAUUUAUAAAUUCAAGAGUUUUUUUUUUUUUUUUUUUAAAUAUGUAAACAAUUAUUCGAUUAUCUUCUCUAUCACACGAGAAUCAUGUCAAGUAACAUCAUACUGAUAGAGUAUGUCAAUCACUUAGAUAAUAUAUAAAUAGAAUUGCAAUCCACUUUAGCAAAAUGUUUUAAAAAUAAAUAUUGGAUUGCAUAAAAUAUAGAUAAAUUACUACAUAUCUUUAAAGUGAUUUUCUUACUUAUUGUCAUCUUAUGUAAGAAAUAUAAUAAUAAUAUACACAUCUUAUGUCACAAAAAUUAUAAUAUCGAUAUAAUACUUGAAUCAUAAUUGAAAAUUUAUAGGCACAUUAAACAAUUAUCAACAAAAUAUAUUAACAAUAAUUUUUAUAAUUUAACUUAUACAAAGUUUACACAAAUAUACUUACGAUAAGUGAAAUUAUAAUAUUACAAAUUAUGAAUCAUUAUGCUUAAUAUAAAUAUUAUAUAUAUAUAUAUAUAUAUCAGACAAAAAAAAUUAUAUUUUUACCAUAUUCGUGUUCUAAUAAGAAUGAAACAUACAUUAACACAUUUUAAAUUGGCAUGACAUAUAUGGUUUUAUAAUUCAUAUAUAAAAGGGAAUGAAAUAAUUUUUUAUUUAUUCAUAAUAGAACUCUUAAAAUUAUAAAAUUUUAAUUAUCAUAGAAUUUAAGAUUUUAAAAUAUUAUAGAAAAUAGUUCACAUUUAUAUGUAUGUAUGUAUGUAUUAUUAUUAUUGUUGUUGUUAUUAUUAUUAUUAUUAUUAUUAUUAUUAUUAUUAUUAUUAUUUACAAAAAGAAUUUAUAUUUAUAGAUUCAAAUUAUAGAAUAUGUCGAUGCUAUAAAAUUAAAAUUUGCUAAAAAUAAAUUAGAUGAACUUGCAAACAAAUUCGCAAUACAUAGCGUAAAAUAGCAGAAUGUCUAUAAAUAUGACAAAAUUCAAGUAUCCUGAAUACCAAUAUCUUCAAAUAUGUAACGUUGACAACACCAAAUUCAUUUAUUAGAAUCUAUAAUCGAUCAAAGCUACUAUAAAAAUCUAAACUAUAACGAACACCAUACUAAAACAAGAAAAAACACUACAUCAAGACAGAAAGAUAGAAAAAAACGUCGCAUUCAGAUGACAAGAUCACAACAACAAAAAAAUAAAAUAAAAACUAAAUUUGUGUGAAAACCACCUAAUUAGGUCAAAUGAAGGAGAAAAAAAUAAUUUGGAGGGUGAUUAUAUACUAAAAAUGAUCUUAAAUCACCCCUUUAUAAGGGAGGAAGAAGAAGAUAACCUAAAAUAAAAAAUUAAAUUUCUCUUUAUAUUCAACUACACAAUAAAUCACAAAAGGAUGAAUAACUAAACUACGAUUAAUAUCUAAUCAUGUGAAUUUCAUCAUUGCAUGUAAAGUCAUUGAACAUUUUUAUCCAUGAGAUUUUACAUUGUCACCUUAAAUGGUUUUUAAACCACGAAUAAACCAUUAUAAAAUAAGAAAAGACUAUAGUAAAAUCAAUAAAAUUAACCUCAAUGAUACAUAAUGGUAGAUUGUAAGAAUGAUACAACUUUAAAUUCGUUAAGUAUUGCUCGAAGAAUUAUCUUUAAUUUUAUUUUACAAGUGAGUGUUUAAUUAACAACAAGACAACAUAUAAUUUAUUAUUACAAGUUGUUUGUAUAAUAUAUGGUGUUAAAAUUAACAAAAUUGAGUCCAAAGUAAUUUUACAAUUAUAACAUUUAAUAGAAUAAUAUAAUUAUUAUUAUUAUUAUAAGAAAAAAUUUACAAAGAUUUUUUUUAUCUAUUCAAAUAUUGAGAAUUUAUUGUUUGAAAAAUAAUGUAUGAUUUUCACAGUGUAGAAAAUGUGACGAUUUGUACUCUCUUUUUUUUUUUAAUAAAAAAUUCGAAAACAAACAAAAUCUUUCUUUUGAUUUUCAAUUUCAAUUUCAUUAAAUAUGGUCGCUCAACAACAACAAUUAUAAGCCCCGAUAUCAUGUCAAUAACCAUCCACCCAACUAAGAAUUUGAGAUGAAAGUCAUAUGGAUUUAGCGUAAAAUAAAUUUUUGCAAGCAAUCAAUUGAUAACAAUAAGCAGUGAUAUGUUUAUAUUCUUUAAUUGGUUAUUAUAAAAGUUGUAUUAAGAAAAAUCUGAAACAAUUUAAAAAGUCGGUAGAAAUAUAUUCGUUUUGAGAUUUUAGGGCUUCAUAACAUUCAAGGUUAUAUUUUGUGUACUAUAGUCAAAUAAAUGUGGAGCUUCACAUAAAAAACAAAUUAAAAAAAAGUAACCGGUAGACACAAAUUUUAUAUAUGUGUAUGUUAAAUGUCACAUUUAAGAAUAGUCAUAUCUAAUUGUUAUAGAGUGUUUGUUACGGAACUUUCAAACUUAUUAUAAGAAUCUAAGAUGAGAAUAAAAAAAUUAUAGAUACAUAUAAUAUAUUUAAGUAUUAAGAGAUGGUUAUGAACCACAUAAUUUUACAUACUUUUAGGAUUCGGAUGAGAGAAUGGAGACAGGUAAAUUAUUAGAUUUCAAGAGAAUAAUCAAAAUCAUAUAUACGAAUUAUAACAUAUCUAUGUAUUAAGAGAUGAUUAUGAAUAACAUAUUUUUAAGAUUCUUAAUUACUUCAUUACCGCAUAAUAAUUUAGAAUUAAAAUUUAUUAAUUGAAUAACUAAUCUAAUAAAAAGUACAUGUAAGUUUGAAAAUACAAGUCUAUCAAAAGUAUGAAAUUGUAGAUUUCUUAUUUUCAUAUUAAAGUAGCAUUAAGAACCAAGACAUGUACAUUUUGAUACUAAACAUAUGAACACCACAUUUUCCAAGUUAAAUCAAUUAAUAGUAUAUAAGAGUUAAUAUUUUUGAAAGAAAAUGUGAAGAACCAAAUGGCAAAUACGCUAAAUGAAACAACCUUUGUGUAUCAAACUUCAAACAAACAAUCUCAUUUAUGUAUUAAUAAUAAGUGUUUAUGUAGUAUUUCAAAUUUAUUUAUUAUUGACAAAUAUUUAUUUGAUAUUUUUUUAAAAAAAAAUUAUCAAUGACAAAUAUAUAUUUCAUGUUUUUUAAUAUUUAUCUUGUAUUUUUUUAUGUAUCAGUGACAAAUGUUUAUCUCAUAUUUUUUAUGCGUUAAUUAUAUACAUGUAUUUCACGGUUUUUAAUAUUUAUCAUUUACAAAUAUUUAUCCAUUUUUUUUUAUAUAUAUUUAUAAGUGAUAAAUAUUUGUCACAUGUUUUAUUAGUUAUAUGUGACAAAUAUUUUCCCCCAUAUUUUUAUGUAUAUGUGACAAAUUCUAUAUGUCUUUUUAGAUUUAUCAAUAACAUAUAUAUAUUAAGUUUUUUUUUUAUAUAUCAUUGACAAAUAUUUAUCUUAGACUUUUUAUGUUUAUCGAUAACAAAUAUUUAAUAUGUAUUUUUUUAUAUUUAAUAGUGACAAUUAUUUAUCUCAUAUUUUUUUAUGUAUGAAUAAUUUUUUUUUCUUCAUAUAUAUAAAUAUUAACUUUUUUUAAAACAAUGCUCAACAACAUCACAUAAUAUUCAACCAACCAAAACAAUGCUCGAAAACAAAAAUGUUUCACACAAUUAGGUUUCAACAUGAUAAUUUGAAAUUGGAAAAAUGAAUUUCAUUUUUUGCAUAUUAGGUGGAUGUUUUAGAGGUAAAAACAAGGUGAGCUUUAUGUUCAAUAUGAAAGCUCUUCUUUUAGUGUUUUUUUAGUUUGAGCAAUUCGUUUUUAUGUUUAUCUUUUUUGUUUUUUAUUUGUGCGUAAAAUUUAGGAGAUCAAUUUUAUAGUUUGGACGGUGUUACAAAUAUAUAUAUAUAGUAGAUUCAAGAGAUAAAAAGUUAAAAUAGAUAUUUUAAUAAAUAAUAAAAGAUGAAAAUAAAAAAAUAAGGUGGUCACAAAUAUGGUGGUCACAAACUUUUGUGGUGGUCUUAUAAGAGUAUCCUAUAUUCUUUGGAAAGGAAUGAAGGUUUUCUUAGAUUCAAAGAGGUGUUUAAGACGAUUUCCUUCACCAUUUUCAUAUUUGUCACCAUUAACCAUUGUGUACACCCAGAUGAAUACAAGUAUAUUGAACCUGCAAUAUUUAUAUCUUAACACACCAUUUCAUUGGAUAUACAUUUAUGAAAAAUAAUAAAAAUAGUUUUUAAAUAUUUUUAUUACUUUUAGAAAUUUAGGUCAAACAAUACCUUUAAAAACAUCUUAACCUAAUAUUUCACAUCUUAUCUUAUAUAUAUAUCUCAUAUACAAGAUAAUUUGAUAUGACAUCUUAACCUAAUAUUUCACAUCUUAACCCUCUCAUGGUUGUGUGAUUUUGACACAACACUAAGAUUUUAUUAUUUGGUCGCAGGAAAUAACCACACAACAUGAAUGAACAUUCACAUUUCUUAGAUCUUGUGUCUUCGUGUUUCAACUUAUUAUUGGUUCUUUAAUACACACCACUCCUUUCGCAACUCAAUUCAAAAAAUUGUUUUCUUCUAUUUGAACUAUGAUCAGAUUUUGUAAUUACCACUAAAAAUCCUAACAUAGUUUCCUGAUGACGAACUCAAGCAAUCAAAUCAUCUCACAUCUAUAUGUAUUAUCAGUAAUGAAGUUAAUCUCAACAUUGAUGUCAAUCACCAAUGGCUCUGUAAUAUUUAGUUUCAAAUCAGAUGUUUCCUCCUAUUUCAAGUCAAGUAUGAGCUUAGGUAUUUCUUCAAGCUCAGGCUUUGGUUCAGCUACAGGCUCAGGUUUCAAAUCGGGUGCUGGAAAAUGUUUGAAUUUAGCUUCAAGCUCAACCAUAACUAACUAUAAAUAUUUAACACAAAUUAAAACUCAAUCAUGCAAAAAACAAACAAUUAUGUAUUGUAUUAACACCUACCAGAUGUGUGAAUCCGAUAGUGUUAUAUUUUUUUAAAACACUAUCGAAUGUGUGAAUCCAAUAGUGUUAAUUUUUUAAAAAAACAACUACCAGAUCCUAGAAUCUGAAACAAUCCAGUACAUAACUUCAAAAAAUUUAACAACCAAAAUGACAAUGAGAAAGCUUUUAGAGCUACAUUACCUUUGCAAUGAACAAGAAUACAAUUGAUGAUGCCAAUGGAUAGAAGAAUGGGAAUUUUGAACUCUAAAAACGUGAAAAUGCGUGAAGAAUUUAAGGUUGAGUAUUGAAGAAGAAGUGUUUGGCGAAAAGGCUGACUUGCUUUUGUAUUUGUGGCUUCCGGAUGCUGGAACCCGGUAACUUAAAUUAUUGAAUUCAUGCACCCGAGAAUUUACCGAUUCGAAAGUUGAGAUUCAAUAAAAGAUAAAUGCAAAAAUUUGAGGAGCCUCUAAGCAACAAUGGAAGAUAAGCAAAUAGGAUGUGGACUGAUGAGGCUCCCUUUUCCUAUUCAUUUUGUUGUAUAAGGAUUUGGGUAUGAUUGAUCUUUUGACUUGUUUCAAUAAAAAGAGGUAUAUCUAUUAUAAUAUAUUAAAAUAUACUCUUAUAUUCUAACAAGUACUCUUUCACCCUUGUUAUUAUUUUACACAUGCAAUUUACUUUAGCACAUUUUUUUUUUUGUUUUAACACACAUUUUACUAUUACUAUUUUUGCAUUUAAUAUUUUGUGGAACUAUUCAUGUUUCAUGAGUUACAAAUUACAAUACAAUAAAUAUUAGUUAUUCGACACUCAUUGUUCCUCCAUCAUUAUUGGUAACGGUUCUUCCUAUAGUUUUAAAUCUCAAUUAAUUUAUUGUGUCCUUUUAAAGUUUUCUCAAACUACAAUUAAGGGAAGUUAUUUUAUAUCGCAUGUUUUUUUCAUCUGGAAAUAGGAAGAGAACGACAUAUAUGAUUAGGUCCCUAUGCAACUCUUCGUAUGCUCAUUACAUACUUUCAAACUUUUUUCCUUUUAGAUAAGCAAAAAGUGUGAUAACUCAUAUAUUUUUUUAGUUUACAUCUUUGAGUUUUAAUUUUAUUUAUAUAUAUUUUGAUAUAUUUGUGAUCAAUUGUUGUUGUUGACAUUUGGUCCAAAUACAUCAAUUUUUCUUUCAAAAUGUGCUUAUCUUUCAUUACAUAAUAUAUUAUGUGUUAUCUAAUGUGUUUUUCGGAUAUACAUUGAAAUUUGAAACAGGUUUCUAACACUAAUACACAUCUCUUAAAUUUCGGUGAUAAUAUGAAUAAGUUAUACAAUAUUAUAUGAUGACAACUACAAUAUAUCUUUUUCACCUCAUCUUUAGACAUAUGAUGACAACUACAAUAUAUCUUUUUCACCUCAUCUUUUUCACAGUCUUAUGGGUUCUCAACAGAGAAAAACCACUCAAUGAUUCUUCUGGUGUUGUUACAGUGUCUGAUGAUGGCCAUGAUCUUGUGAUACUGAAUGGAAAGAAAGAAGUGAUUUGGUCAUCAUCCAAUGCACCGAGCAUCGCAACCAAGUCAAGUUCCAAACUUUUAGAUUCAGGGAACAUUGUACUACUCGAAGACACAACACGUAGAACUAUAUGGGAGAGUUUUCAGCAUCCUUCAAAUACACAGUUACCAAACAUGAAACUUACUACCAACAAAAGAACAGGUUGGUAGCUUAAUUAUUUAAUUAAAAAAUUAUGGAGUGAUAUAAUCGGUUAUUAGGAAUUAUUAAUAAAAUAAAUUAUAUUCAAUUAUUAUUAUGCACUAAUAUUUAGUUAUGAAUGAACCAUGAUGGGUCUUGUCAUUCUAUUAUUUGUUUAAUUGUAGCUACAUAAGAAGGUAACACUGAAAAGAUCUUUAAGUGUUGAACGACUUAGUAUAACUGAGGUGUUCAUUUGGAACAAAACUCGACCAUAUUGGCGCACCUGUCCAUGGGAUGGUAAGAUUUUUUCAGGGCUUCCAUAUACGAAAACUCAUGACCUCAAUGAUAUACAUGUUGGAGAUGACGGUUCCUUCUUUGAAACACAAAGGAUACAAAUGGUCUCAUAAUCUAUAAUCUAACUUCAGAAGGAAACUGUGAAGAGAAAUGGUGGGAUGAAAAGAAGAAAGAAUGGAAUGUAACAUGGAAUAGUCAUCAAAUGGAAUGUGAUGUUUAUGGUGUAUGUGGAACUUUUGCUAGCUGUAAUUCACAAAGCUCACCAAUAUGUAGCUGUUUGAAAGGGUUUGAGCCAAGGAACAAAGAGGAAUAGAAUAGGCAAAAUUGGAUUGGAGGGUGCAUUAGGAGGACACCUAUGCAAAAGUGUGAAAAAGAGAGCAUUAAAAAAAAAGUACUGAGAGUAAAGCUGAUGGAAUGUUUGAAACUACAGAUGGUCAAAGUUCCUGAUUUUGCAGAUGGGUCUUCUCUCACACUUUCACCAGACACAUGCAGAAGCCAAUGUUUGGGGAAUUGCUCUUGUGUUGCAUAUUCAUAUGAUGCUGACAUUGGUUGUAUGUCUUGGACUGGGAAUCUAGUUGACAUACAACAAUUCUCAAAUGGAGGACUUGACUUGUAUGUCCGUGUAGCCUACACAGAAAUUGGUAAACAUUUUAUGCUAGUUAUUAUGUGUACAACAAAUUGAAUACAUACACUUCUCUGAGUUUACCCUUUUCUCAGGGUUUUAGAUUGAAAAAUUUCAACUUUCAUUGGGUGCAGAUAAAGAGGGAAACAAGACAGUCAACAUUAUUAUAACAGUGAUAACAGGAACUGUCUUAGUUCUAGUUUGUGCAUAUAUCAUGUGGAGAAGAAUAUCUAACCACCACGGUAAUAUAUCAUAUACUCUGAAGAGUUUUCUACGUAUUAGUAUUGUCGAUACAAAUCAUACAAAUACAAGAUCAUAAUUUUCUAUAAAAUUAAAUUAUUUCUGCUAACUAGUUUCUGUUUUCUUUAACUGAACAAUUCAAAUCACUUUCAAUUUUAAUUGUAUUUGCCCAUCCACGGUAAUAUUAUCAUCUAUGAAAUAUUAAUAUUACCUUGUUAAUUCUUUACCACAUAGCAUUCCGUUUUGUUAUUUGUCCACCAUAUAACCACAUGCAUCUUAAGAGUAAGGGACAUUACAAUUAAACUAUACUGAAGCAUAAAUUAUGACCAUGACGCUAGAACUUCUCUCUAUUGAAGUCCUAAAUUGUGUUAUUGUUCUUUCCCUUCAAAAAUUUAUUAUUCUAUUUAGCAAAUUCGUACAGUAAUGAAUUUUGCACAUCAAAAUAAGUGGAUGUAUUUAAUGUGUACCAUAGAUAUUUUUGGAAAUUAAAAUAAUUUAAUGUUGAUUCAUUUUUAAAAAAAUUCUUUAAUUUUUAUAAUUUGGUCUUCUUUUUCUUGUUAAACUUUUUGGAAAUAUUAAAUUUGUCUUUAACAACAUUGUAUUUUGUCAAAUUUCAAUUUGAAUUUUAAAACAUAAAAUAUGAGAUAUAGAAACUAAAAACUAAAUAAGAUGAGGUUAUAUAUGCUACAUCUCUCUGUCAUUUUUAUUUCUUCCAGUUUUCCACGUGUUUCCUCAAGAGAUAAUUGUGUUUGAGCAUUGUCGAACUCUAAGGAUACGUCUAGAUGGAGGGUUUUGGAAAGAAAGGGGUGAGAGGAUUUCUUUUUUUUUUUUUUAAAUUAAGGAAGCUAUAUAAUAUGUCUAAAGAUAAAUUAAGUGUAAUUAAGAUGUUAUAUGACAAUAUAAGAGGACUUAUUUUCUUUUUUCAAAUUAAAGAAGCUAUAUAAUGUUCCUAAAGAUAAAUUAAGUGUAAUUAAGAUGCUAUAUGACCAUUUAUCAUGUAAUUCUUUUGAUUAUUAGUAAGAUUUCAAAUAUAUACCAAGGUAUGGACAUAACCCCAAAGGCCUACUCCCAAACAUAUCCUAAAUGUGGACACAUCUUCUAUCCAGGAUUUGAACUACAUAAACAAAACACAGCAAAUAGAGAUAAUAAUUUGUAUUAUGUCAAUUUCUUCAUUAGUUCACUAAUUGUCCUUCACAAAUUGAUUUUUCUAUAAACUAAUUGCAUAUAUACUCUAAUUAAUUUUGACUAAGAUGAAACUAAGAACUAAGAAUUAAUUCAAAGCUUCGAUUGCCAAUCACUUGUACUACUAUAAUGUGUAGGUCUCAAUCAGAAUACAUAUUUCUUAGGAAUAUCGUUGAAGAAGUAUCUAAUAAGAUUGAUCGCACUCCUUUACAUGUUGCUGAUAACCCAGUUGCACUAGAAUCCGCAGUGCUAGAAGUGGCAUCUCUGCUAGGAGGAUGUGACUGGUUUGGCUCUGGCAGCAAAGUUAUAAUCACUACAAGAGAUAAUCAUUUGUUAUCCACUCACAGGAUUAUGAAGUCAUUUGAGGUAAAACAGCUAAAACAUGAAAAGGAUCUCGAAUUGUUUAGUUGUCAUGCCUUCAAAAAUAAAAUAAAAAUGGAUCAAGAUUAUGUUAAUGUUGUCAACCGUGCAGUAUCUUAUUGUCAUGGUCUUCCAUUGGCUUUGGAGGUGAUAGGUUCUCACUUGUUUGGCAAAAGUUUGGAUGUAUGGAAAUCCGCAUUAGAUAAAUAUGAAAAAAUUAUUCAUAUAGAUAUACACGACAUUUAGCUAUGAUGAUUUGGAAGUAGACGAGAAGGGUAUUUUUUUUGACAUCACUUGUUUCUUCAAUUCUUACGAAAAGAGCUAUGUUAAAGAAAUAUAUACUUACAUGGUUUUCAUGCGAAAGAUGGCCUUCAAGUGCUGACUAACAAAUCUCUCAUAAAUCUCUCAUAAAAAUUGAUGGCAAUGGUUGUGUGAGAAUGCAUGACUUAAUUCAAGACAUGGAAGAGAAAUCUCGAGGCAAGAAUCACCAUUAGUUCCUGGUAGAAGCAGUAGAUUAUGGUUUGAUGAGGACAUUGUUAGUGUUUUGGAAGAAGAUAAGGUAUGUUAGAUAUAAUCUACUUUGUAACAUUUUUUACUAAUGUAUAAGUUUCAAAUAUUGUUUCUUCUCCAUUAUCAAUUAAAAAUGUUUGACAAACUUUAUUACCAUUCGCAGAAAAGGACGUUGAUUUAUAAUUUGUGAAUUUCUCCAUGUAUGUUGAUGACAAAGUCCUAACAUUUACUUUAUAAGAUUUUCAAGAGGCCCUCAAAUUCUACUAAAUAGCUUGAAAGUGCUUGACUGGAGUGGAUAUCCAUCAUCCUCUUUACCAUAUGAUUUCAAUCCCAAAAAUCUUGUGAUACUUAACCUUCCUGAAAGCUGCCUUAAAUCAUUCAAAUCACCUAAGGUGUGUAUUCUUUUCAAAUAUAUAAAUAUAAAUACUAUCUUUAACAUGUUUUUUGACAUUAAACUAACAUGUAUUUCUGGUCGAGAUUAACCUAAUAAUUUUAGGCAUCUAUUUUUGUUGUGUAGGCAUUUGAAACAUUGAGCUUUCUGAAUUUUGAAGACUGCAAGUUCUUAACAGAAUUACCUAGUUUAUCUAGAGUACCAAAUUUGGGGGCACUAUGUCUUGACAACUGUACUAAUUUAAUUAGAAUCCAUGACUCAGUUGGAUUUCUUGAUAAACUUGUUUUACUAAAUGCUCAAGGAUGCACUCAACUAGAAAUUUGGGUACACAACAUCAACUUGUCCUCUCUAGAGACUUUGGAUAUGAGGGGUUGCUUGCGUCUUGAGAGCUUACCUGAAGUAUUGAGAAGAAUGGAGAAGUUAAGAGAUGUUUAUUUAGAUCAGACUGCACUAGAUAAGUUACCUUUUUCAAUAGGUAAUCUUGUUGGGCUCCAACAACUAUUCAUGAGGGAAUGCCAAUGGAUGGUUCAGUUACCAAGUAGUAUCCAUGUAUUGCCCAAACUUGAGAUAAUAACUGCUUAUGGUUGUCGCGGGUUUCGAUUAUUUGACAAUAAUAAUCAUAAAGAAAAAGUUGGUUCACAAUCACUAGUGAUUCCAGCAGUCAUGCGUCUUUAUGAUGAAGGCAUGGAGGGCUUACUUGAUGUGUUUUUUCUUAACAUGUGUUUUUGGAAGGGACUAAACAAGGGGAUGUAAAUUGGUACCAGCUGGAAAGCAAGGAAUCAUCUAUGUAUUUUUGGUUCCGAAAGAAAUUCCCACGGAUAACUCUAUGUUGGGCAGGACAACCUCAAAUUAAUAAAGACAGUAUGAUGUUGUAUUUCAAGUUCAGCGUACCCAUCAAUGGUCCUAAGCAACUCACUUCUUCAUGUAAAUGACCAUAUUGUUUUAGAUUCACUUUAUUUAUUUUUAUUUGAUCUCAAUUUGUAUUAUUUUGGGAUAAUAAAAAUAUGUAAUUUGAUAGAGACCAGUCUCCAAGAUCAAUAGAAAUUGUAAUAUUGCGUGAUAAUAAGAAAUAUUAUAGAGAAUGAUCCUUAUAAUUCCAGAGCAAUGCUCCUCAGCGAAGAUAAUUUCUUUGUAUUCCCAAAUCUAGAAGGUUCUAACUAAAUAUGAUUCUGAAAAUGAUUUCCUCCUUGCUAACCGUCUCCUUAAUAUAACUACAUUCUCCCGCUAACAAAUUUGCUACAUAAGCAUAUCGUAAACAAUUCUCUAUUUGGCCCAUUUAUUGUUCUAGGCCCAAAUCUAGUACCUAACGAAAUUCAUCAAUAAUUUCCUUUAAUUAAUCUAAUAUAAAUCUUGAAGUACACGUGUGUAUUAGGAGCGCUAAGGAAUUAAAUUUCUGUCUUUUUUGACAAAUAAACAAAUAAUUCUUUACUAUAAAUUAUUUUCUCCAUCAUACAGCAAUUUUAAUGAUGACAGAACUAGGAUAUAAUAAAAGUCGUUUGUCUCUCAAAAGAAUAAAAACUUUUAUUAUUACUAUACAUUGAUCAACAUACUAAAAAAACUGUUCCUAUAUGCCACAUACCUUUAUGCAAAAUACUAAAAAAAUUAAACUACAGUGAAGCAUAAAUACUGAUUUAACUUACCUGCACCUCUUAUUGUAACUUGGUACAACAUCUUGGAGAAUCUUCAUCCUCUCACUGAUUUUCUCCUCCUGUACCCAUAUUAAGGCAAGUUUAUACAGUGUCAAGUACAUAUUUUUUUGCCAUUGUCAAUGUCAUUCAUAAAAAACAAAGGCAAUAAUCCUUGCACAUUUUGCAAGAAUUUGGCUAUUAGUAACAUGAUCUAUUCUCAUUCUUACAUGCAUGUAAUUUUGGAGGUUCUGAUUUCAGAGGAAGUAUCUUCCUCUUCCCCUGCAGUAGUAGCACUAGCACCUUCUUUGGGUUGGACUCGUCCUUAAUGGGCCAUUUUCAUUUCCAUCAUCCUCGUCUGGGCUGUUGUGCUUAGUUUUGAAUCUUUACAACCAACUUCAACAUCUUGAAAUGAUGAACAUUGUGUGAUUUGAAGUUUCUUUGCAGGACCAAAAUAAAAACGAUAAAUAAUUUUACUUAAAAAAUUAUUCGCCUUAGAUUCCUCUUGAGGAUUGGAUAUUUUUGCAUUCUGUCAAGGAAAAAAAAAAGGGAAUGAUAUUUCAUAAUAAUGCAGUCAAGAUGAAAUAAUUGCUCGUUACUCUUCAAAAUUCUAAGACUAUCUACUCAAAUUUUAAAUCUGAGACACCACCCUGUGUUAAUUCUAUCUUACAUCUUCUAGAAAAAGGAUUUUGUUUCAUUGAACGGGUAUGAGCAAAAAAAAAAAAUACUGUAGAAACAACUCUACUACCAAACCAAAGAAUCAUCAUAUCCAAAUUGAAACUACCAAAAGUGAAUUCAUAGUGCAAGAGAGAUCUAUGUUUAAAGCUUUCAUAACAAUAUCAAAGAGCCAAAAUGAACAAAUUUAUCUUAAUCAGGAAUCCGUCUAUAAGACAAUGAUUGUCUACGCGGCACCUAGCUAGAAUAAAGCAUUUGCAAGAAUAAAUUUAAUCAUAAUGCAAGCAAUGCUAUAAAUCUACCUUUCUUUCUCAUUUAACAAUAGGCACUUACUUAGAAUUGCAAUACUAUAUAAUCAAACUUAAAAUCUGAGACUUAAUGUAUUAAAAUUUGAAAGCAAAAUAAAGAAUGAAGACUAUAACAAUAAUUGAAUCAAGAUUAUUAAACGGAAUUCUGUUUCUUUGAACAGAUAUGAGCAUCACUAAAUUAGCGGAGAAACAAUUCUAUCACCAAAUCACGAAAUCAUCACAGAAUGAUGGUAAAAUACAAAUUACCGUGUUGUGAUCAAAGCCAAUUGGAACCAAAAUUGAAUUCGAAGGAACCAGAAAGAGAUUAGCGAGAAAUGGAUGAGGUCAAUGUAGGUGGUGUUUUGUGUAGGUUGGUGUGUUAUAGCAGAGAAUGAAUGAGGGUUUGAAAAGAAAGAAGAUGAAGGGAAAAACGGUGUCAUAGAAUGUGAGGGGUGAGUAGGUUGUAUAGAGGAGUGACUCUCACACUGUGGGGAGCUUUACAACGACGAUGGAGAUGACCAGAAAUAGGAGAUAUCAUUUAGUCACAAACUUAAACUUUUGGCCAAACACAAUUUUAUGCAACCCAUUUUAACAAUCACACAAUUCAUAUUUAUCUGUUACACAUUUUUAAGGAAUCUGCUACACAAUUCAAUAUGAUGGAAACACUCUUAUAUUUGAGAAAGCAAAAAAGAAUGAAAAUCCAAAUUGGUUCUCCAAUUCACAACAAUAUUGGAGUAAGGCAGCCUCUAACUCUGUUCAUAAUUAAUAUGAUUGAUUUUUCUUUAUAGAAAAAAAUCCAGAAGUGGUAUAUGUCUCAUUUAGUUACAUUAUUGUUUAAAUUCUAACCAUAUUAAGAACAACUCCCUGACCAGGUUCAAUAACCAAACCAUAAGCCGGUGAAUGGCACCACGACGCUGUAUUUGCAGUAGUUUCAUGUCCAACAAAGAAUAGAGUUCUGCAGUUAUCUACAAUGAACCUGUCUUGUAAGAUUGAAUUCUUUCCACUAUCAAGUAUCAUUUGCAAGAGCUCAUAACCUUCCUCUUGACGUUGGCAAGAAUCUAAAACAGUAUAAUACCAUUUUCCACAUUAGUAUCAUCCCUAACAAGACCAACAAAAUAAUAAGAUAUGAAUAUCGUAGAUUAGCGACACUGAUUCAAAAGAAAAAAUGGAAAAAGAGUACUCCAUAUCUCUAAAGAUUAAUUAAUGAGCACAAAAGUGUUUCAAUGAUCACACAUAGCUGAAUAGGCGAUAGCUGGAUAGGUGAAUAGGCGAUAGGCGAAUAGGGCGACAGGCGACAGGCGACAGGCGACAGGCGACAGGCGACAGGCGACAGGCGACAGGCGACAGGCGACAGGCGACAGGCGACAGGCGACAGGCGCGAUAGCCACUACCAACUAUCAGCUAUGAGGCAGCAAUAGCCGCUACCAACUAUCAGCUAUGAGGCAGCGAUAGCCGCUACCAACUAUCACCUAUGAGGCGGCGAUAGCCGCUACCAGCUAUCAGCUAUGAGGCGGCGAUAGCCGCUACCAGCUAUGAGCUAUGAGGCGAUAGCUGCUACCAGCUAUGAUAGCCAAUAGCUUAUGGCCGAUAUAGCUGAUAGACAAUAUCACCUAUCAGAUAUCAGAUUUUCAGUUAUAAGCUUAUAACUUAAUUUUACAAAAUAGAGCCAAAGUGUCCAUGUGAUUUCAAAAGAUUGGCUAAACUUUAAAAAUAUUAUUAUUUACAUUUUAUUUAAUUUCAAAUCUUAUAAUUUACAUUUUAUUUAAUUUCAAAUCUGUAUGCGGCGAGUAACGAGCCAGAGCAGGUAUGAUUUCCUUUAAUAGAGCGAGGUUACUCUGAAGGAGGUUCAGCCUUGACUCACCCGCGAUCUGUCGUGCGCCGGCGGUAACAAUACAAAGAUCGGACCCGGCGGUAACGGAGUAUUCAUCGGAUGAGUUGAUCUUAACGCGGGGGAGAAAGCAGCGGCGCGCUGAAGGUCGACCAUCUCGCCGCGGAGUUUGUCGGGUUUGUUGUCGACGAUGACGAGCUCGCCGGUGAGGUCCUGAGUGAGGAUGGUCUGAGCGAUGGCAAUUCCUACAUUUCCGGCGCCGAUGACGGAGAUCUUGGUUUGACGCUUGGAGAGAGAUGGAGGGGAUGAUUUGGAAAAGAAAAGGACCGAAUAACACUGUAACCGCCUGGUUGGUUUGUGUGCUUUCCGCCUUUAAAUCUACCAAUUUAGCAGUUGUGAAUUAGUUGUACCGUUCAAUUAAAAUGAUUCUUUAAAUAAUAACAUUUCAGUCUUCAAUUUUGAUGAAUGAUCAAUAUCACGUCACUGUUUUGUUUGAAAGCAUACAAUUUCAGAUCCUAGUUCGGAAUUUGGAUAGUUUCGUUUAUAUUUUAUUUUAUGCUAUUUUUCUUUUUUUAGACAUAACUUGCUUUUAUAUUAUUUGAUUUGAUUAACAACACAAAUAUCCUUUUAUUUUU